CCUACGGGAGGCAGCAAUGAGGAAUAUUGGUCAAUGGGCGCGAGCCUGAACCAGCCAAGUAGCGUGAAGGAUGACUGCCCUACGGGUUGUAAACUUCUUUUUUAAAGGAAUAAAGUGAGGCACGUGUGCCUUUUUGUAUGUACUUUAUGAAUAAGGAUCGGCUAACUCCGUGCCAUCAGCCGCGGUAAUACGGAGGAUCCGAGCGUUAUCCGGAUUUAUUGGGUUUAAAGGGAGCGUAGAUGGGUUGUUAAGUCAGUUGUGAAAGUUUGCGGCUCAACCGUAAAAUUGCAAUUGAUACUGGCAGUCUUGAGUACAGUUGAGGUAGGCGGAAUUCGUGGUGUAGCGGUGAAAUGCUUAGAUAUCACGAAGAACUCCGAUUGCGAAGGCAGCUUACUAAACUGCCACUGACAUUGAUGCUCGAAAGUGUGGGUAUCAAACAGGAUUAGAUACCCGAGUAGUC
rnacentral:rRNA from 1 species